AAUUGGAUCAGACGCCGUUGCAUUCUUGUAUUUAAUAUUAAUAAUAAUAAUUUCAUAAAAUUCCAGAAUAUUUAAUCAAUUUUGAUGAAAAAUAAUGUUUUAGGGUCUUCUGUAACAGUAGGACAACCGGAAGCGUCUGAGUAAGGAUUUCGGUGCUUAGUGAUACGGUUCACUAGACGACGAUGUCAACACGUAAUGGCGGCCAUUGUUUGACGUUGGUUUUGGCAUUUCAUUCUGUAAAGUUGCAUGUAUGACAUUCUUGGAUGCUUUAACUUUAUGCCACACAACAUAAAAGGACAGAGAAAGAUGUUCACUACGGAUUAAAACAGAGGACUUUUAUAUAUAAACAAAAAUACUUAUACAUGUAACAAGAAAAUAGACAUGGAAUGUCUAUGUGAUUGCAGCAACACAUUUUAAUGGAGUGAUGUUGGAAGCAAAAUUAUUUUUGUUCGUAGAAAACAAUAUGACUACAAUAUGUUAGGGUACACAACAGAUCCUUUCAGAAGGAUAAUUUUACUGGAGGAUACAAUUUUAAUACCUGGAUUCAGCAAUUUAUAUGAAAUUUGUUAAGAGAGAUAUAGUCAUAUACAGAAUUGCUUCCAAGGUGGUAACCCCAACAGAUAUACCCAGGAGCAGACAUUUUCGUUUAACUAAUGCAGCAUUUAAUAAAUGAAACUUUGGCAGAAUAUGGGCUCCAAAGUGUUGUAAAAAGAGGAAUUUCAAAUAUGUGAGACUCAUCAAAAUGUGCAUAAGUGAAACUUUCAAUAUUUUGUAGUAAAUUCAGAUUAUUGACUCAGUUGUUUUCAUGAACUUUUUUAUCAUAGCAAUAUCACUUUUAUAUAAUUAAUAAGAUUCCAUAUGUUUUACUUUAUACUUUAAGUGACAACCAAAUAUUUGAGACAUAUUUUCGAAAAACUCGAAAUGCUACACCUAUUAUCCUGAAAUUUUAACACGUGAUUAGGAAUAACAAAAGAAAGCUCCCUUUUGCUUUUGACAAAUUCAAGUUUUUUCAUUCAGAAUUAUUGGACUUUAUUCAUGGAAAAUUAGACAUUUGCCCAAACGUUGUAGAAGAACUCAACUUUGCUUUGAUACUUUUUCAAGAUAUUGUAUCACAAGUUUAGAUUUGAUCAAAUAAUCUCACUUUUGUCAUUCCAAAGUUAUGGUGCUUAUUUCCAUACAGAAUUGAGAAUUUAUCACAUAUCACAUACUUAUAUAAUCUAGUAUGCUUGGAUUGAUUUCCUACACUUUUGCCCGGUUGUUGAGUUUGAAGACAGCAACCGAAAGGAGAAUAUAGGUGCACAGCAUACAAAAAAAAAUAUUUCAUAUGCCUAGCUACAUUGUAUCCUUUGAAAAAUGUCAUUGAUUUUUAUAUAUGCACAUUGUAAUUGAGUGACAGAAUUUAAUUAUUUUAUCCCUAUCAAUUUGGAUGUGGGGGUCUAUGCCCCCUUAAGACAUGCAUUCAACACUGCAUGACUAUUACAAGCUAUAAUACAGCCAACCAUACAACAUAGCCCCUGCCACCGAAAGGAGAAUAUAGGUGCAUAGCAUACAAAAAAAAAUAUUUCAUAUGCCUAGCUACAUUGUAUCCUUUGAAAUAUGUCAUUGAUUUUUAUAUAUGUACAUUGUAAUUUUUCUUUUAAAGUAGUUAUUUAUAAUUAAAGGUACUAUCGUUCUCUU